rnacentral:snRNA from 1 species
UUGCUUGCUUCGGCAGCACAUAUUCUAAAAUUGGAACGAUAGAGAGAAGAUUAGCGUGGCCCCUGUGCAAGGAUGACAUGCGAAUUGUGAAGUGUUCCAUAUUUUU